UCUUGCCUGAUGACACCUGGGAUUGGCUCCAGCACUCCCAUGACCCUUGUAAGGAUAAGGUGCUCAGAAAAUGGAUGGAAACAUGGUAACCAAGUGACUCAAAGCUACUUGUCCUGUUCUACUUUGACUGUGGAUCUCAUAAUGGGAUUAGCUAUUCUAAGUAGUGAACAGAGAGCGAGUCCAAACUCAAACCAUACAUUGUAAAAUAGCUCAGGUAGCACUAAGGAAUUACAUCCACCUGAGUAGCCAAAUUGGGGUCUAAUAGAUGGAGCCAGUCCAUUGUGUCAUGGACCCCCGGCCGAAUAUGGAUGCUAAAGGUUUUCAGGGGUCUGUCCAUGACAGUGAUUCAGAAAACAGUCAGGAGACACAAACGUCUAACUGGGACGAGCUGUCCAUCAUAGAUCGAGUGGGCCUCAGCAGUGUGGAGAUGUCAGAGAUUGAUUUGGAAAAGACCUUCUCUCAGAUUGCCUUGGCCUUCUGCUGUGACCAAUACACCUUGAAGCAAAGGCUCCAGGCAGAAGAGCACGGCCGCAACCUGGCAGAGGAGAAUAUCCAGCUCGAGCUUUCUAGAAGCAGAGAAACGCUUGAGACACUAAAGGGCCUAUGUCUGGAUAGCAAGCGCAGUAAAAUCCUGCAGAGGCUUGAGUUGUCUCUGGACAUCAUCACUGGUACUGUGGAGCGCAUCUCCAACAGAGCUGAGGUUCUUGGAGCGGUGCACCAGGAGGCUCGUGUGAGUCGGGCAGUGGAGCUGAUGGUGGCUCACGUGGAGAAUGUGAAGAGGCGACUGGAACGACAUGAGGCAGACCUGGAGGAGGCCAAAAAGAUGAUCCAGCAGCAAAACUCCUGCAGGACUAUUGAUGAGCCUGGAGUUCCUUUCGGUCCAUCAUCAUUCGUCUCAAAAAAUUUGUUUUGUUUUCCAAUACUGUAUAUGACUUGACCUAAUUUGUUUCACGCUAAGUUCCAGAUGAAAGUGACAGCUGGAAGAAAAGCUUUCAACAGAAUGGAUGUCGACGCAGAGUCAGUGUGUCGUUGAUUCCAACCGACAUCCAGCCUCUCCAGAAGACAAAGCGAGAGAUUAAGAAGCGGGCUGGCCAUGUGGAAACUGAGCCAGGCAGUAAUGUGUUCCCAGCUUGUCCAUCUCCCACUUUGAGUUCAGUGUCCAGUUGCAGCGGCACCAACAAGGAUGACAGCGACUUGGUGGAUGACAGGUGCUGCCUGGUCCUGCAUCCACACCUUCAUUUCUUCCUCUACCUCUAACUUCUUUUAUUCAUCUUCCAGGCCAAUUGAUCCCGAUGAAGUGUCUGCCCCUGUGCUUCACUCAGAGCCCCCUCUCCAUCCUCCUCCCAUCCCAGAGCCGCCUGUCCCAUGCAAACGAGCUACUGGUGAAAAGAUGUCACACAAAAGUGGCACGCGGGACACAACGUGGCACAGGCACAAAAGCAAAAUUUCAUUGGCAAAGAAAAAGGCUGACAAAGAGAAGAAGAGGACAAAUGUCUACUGCCGGAUUUCCAAGUAGGUUUUUAAUUUCUGUUGACAAAUGAAAUCCUAAUAAAACAAUUAAAUGAUGAUUGUUGUUUUCAGAAAUGGAUCGCUGUGCAGGCAGCGGCCUUUCAUUUGUCGCUGGUUGUUCCUCUGUGUCUUGGUGCUUCUCUCCUUCAUUAUGUGGAUUUUUCUCUUUGUGUAAGAAUAUUAAAGACAUACUAUGGUAAAUAUACUUUGCAAAUUCUAUAAAUGCUGUAGAUGUAUAAAAACAAUUGGAUUUUUGAGUGCCUGCCCACUCAUCAUCACAUGUGAAUUAAACUGAAUAGUACAUUUUUGUUAGCUGCCAAAGGUGCUGAAUUCUAAUGUGUGAAGUGCGGACUGUGUGAGAAAUGUCCAAAUUAUUCUUUUACAGAAUAUUUUGGGAGGCUAUGGCUCCGAUGGAAUUAGCAGUGGAUCAUUUGUAUCAGAACUACACUCACCCCUAAAAUGAGUGGAUAUUGAAUAAAUUCUUUAUCCUUUGUCUACUUUGACCAAAAAAAUGUCACAGAACUUUCAUUAUGUUGGAAUUCUUUUGAAUUGUGAAAAAAAUGCAGUGUCUGUUUCUUCCAAUUAUUUUCAUGAAGUCUUGGGAUGAAAAUGAAAAAAAAAUCCACAAAGUUAUUUUGGACAUUCUUUACUAUAAAUAUAGAGAAAAAAAAGAAUACCUGGUUUGUAACAAAAUUUUGCAACAACAGUCCAAAACACCUUUAAAGGUCAAGUGUCGUCAAACGGAUGAUUUUUGGUUUAUUAUUAAUGAAAAACCCAUAGCCAAUAUGGUCCCAUGUUUUUUUUCCACCACAAAACAGCUUUUUGUAACUCCCGCCAUGAAAAUCCUCUGUCGGGAUUUGUUUUCGAGAAGAAGCUGGAGGUGACGUAAAGGACAGCGGCGCCCCCUCGUGGACUCGUUUGUUUCCAUUAGUUUUACCUCCGGGAAGGUAGCGCGUUGUUCCUUCGUGUUAGCCAAAAUGCCGGCUCAUUGCGUUGCUGGACAUUGCUUGAAUACUCGGGAGAAUGGAAUUACCCUUCAUAAGUUUGAAAGAGACCCUGUUCGUUGUGAAAAAUGGAUUGCACGGGUUAAGAGGACGAGCGCUUCAUGGGUUCCAAAUAACAGGUAGGUGUGUAUACAGCUACGAAAAUAAUAGUUUGGGGUGGACCACGUAAUCGGUCUCGCUCAUAACAUAGCAAAAGAUCCGCGUAUGAAUUGUGUUGAUGUGCGCAUACAGCUACUUAAAAAAAAUAAUAGUUUGGGGCGGACCAUGUAAUCGGUCUCUCAUAACAAAAGAUGCGCGAAUGAAAUGUGUCGAUGUGCGUGUCGCCCAGCCAACAAUGUUUCGAUAGUGUUCAUUGCGUACUGCGGCGACUUUGAACAUACCCCUAAAAGCAACAUACCUCGGCUCCACCUCCUCCUUAUAUGCCACCAUGGGCGCUGAAACUCAGCCACACCGGCUGAGGCGGCGCGUUCGGCGGUCACAGGUUCUGCGAAGGCUGCGCGUCGGGCUUUGCGACAGGGGCGGCUCUGAACAACCCAGCCGAGAAUGCAGUUCAGUUGCGUGUGCGCAUAAAGCGCCCCACCUCGACUGCGAGCACUUCCCUAAAGCACCCCCACUCGGCUCGUCAUAAGCCACACCGGCUGGCUGCGAUGAGCCGCGAUGGUUCAUCUCUGCCGCAGGAGUGGAUCGGACGGGAUACGGUUUGGCCGAGAUUGGAUAUCAUCUGAAUAUGGCCCUGAGGGCUCGUAACAAUACUGUAAUAUUGCCCCGGUAGCUUCACUCGGUUGUGUGGUGUUGUACUUUUCAAAAAGAGCUUCGGUGUCAAAAGGGGCGUCGGAAAAAUGCGAAUAUCUCUGUUGUUCGGCUUCCAGAGUAGCAGGUAUUGCGCGUUUUCAACGGCGGAAGUGACGAUGAGGUCAAGGACAGAGGAUGUGGCUAAUAUGGUGACCACUUGGAUGUCGAGGGACACUCAAUUGCGCAAAUUUGUAUGUUUUUUUGUAGAAUGUAAUCUUCUUUUUGACCCCCCUGGCAAAUUGUCUUCUGCGUUGAAUUGUAUUGUUCUGUUUAAUGUUCAAUAAAGAAAAAAAAAAAAAAUUGCGCAAAUUUGUGCUCUCCGCUCAGAUUUUUUUUUUGUAUAGACAUUGAAGUGAAUACUGUUAUAUGUAUUUUUCAUUACAAUAUCUAUUUUAGAAUGUUUAUAGGAAUGUCAGUCCCACUUUAAAAGGCAUCAGUAAGGAAUAAUUUAUCUUUCAAUGCAACAUACUCCAUGUUAAAUUUCAACAUUUUUCACGCAAGCAAUGCGUUUACAUUAAACCUUAAGAGUCUAUGUUACGAGCAAUAACCUUCAAAUACUUGAUGAAUAAAUUAUAUUAGGAAUCCAAUGGAAAUGUUUAUGUGCAAAAUAGUUCUACAUAAAAUAUUGACCACCAAGUUGUUAAAGCAUCUACUAGAAAAACAUCCAUUCAUCUACAGUGCCGUGAAAAAUGAUUUGAAUUUUUUUAUUUGGAAAUCUCUCACACAACGGUUUCCAAUGAUCAAACCAAUUUUAAUAUCACUCAGACAACCCAAUGAAAUAUAAAAUGCAGCUUUCAAAUGACAAUUGAAUUAAUAAAGAAAGAAAAAAAAUCCAAACCUUUCUGACCCUCUGUGCAAAUGUAAUCACAAAGUCACUGUAAUUAACCACAAAUCUGGGAAAGGUUAAGCCUGGAAACUGUUAUGAAGCCAUUUCCAAGGCUUUGGGGCUCCAGCGAACCACUGUCAGAGCCAUUGUCCACAAAUGAAGACAAUUGGGAAAAGUGGGAAACCUUCCCAGUAGUGGACGACCAAAUAAAAUCACACCAAGAUUGCAACAGUGACUCAGCCAGGAUGUCUCAAAAGAACCUUGAAAAACAAUGAAUUAUGAUGUGUACCAGAAAAUCCUAAAGGAGAAUGUCUGGACAUCAGUUCCUUCCCUCAAACUCAAGUGCUCUUGGAUCAUGCAGCAGGACAAUGAUCUGAAACACAGCAGCAAGUCCACCUCUAAAUGGGUUUAAAAAAAAAAUAGGUUUUGGAGUGGCCAAGUUAAAGUCCAGAUUUAAAUCCAAUUGAGAUGCUGUGGGGUGACAUUAAAUGCGCAGUUAAUGCCAGAAAUUGCUCCAGAGCGAUCUGAAUGACCCAUUAUUGCAAAUGAUUGAUUUCAGUUAUUGCAACCAAGGGUGUUAUGGGAUUCAUUAUCACAGAGUGUCACAAAGAUUUUGGAUUUUUUUGUGGUGCCUUAAUAAAUUGAAUUGUCAUUUGAAAACUGCACUUUGUAUUUCCUUGGGUUGUUUCUGAGCGAUAUGGGAAAAAAACAUCUGUGGUGGGGGAUAUAAUUUUUCACGGCACUGUAUUUUCUGUACAGCUUCUCAUUGGGAUUGUAGGUUUCCUGGAGACUAUCUGAGUUGUCUUUGGGCAAGAGGAAGGGCAAACACUGAACUGGUCACUGAACAAUCACAGGGCACAUAGAAGCAACCAUUCACACUCACAUUUACUCAUAUGGCAAAUUUAGAGUUUUCAACUAUCCCAUCAUGCAUGUUUUUUUAGAAUGUGG